ensembl:lncRNA LINC00710 long intergenic non-protein coding RNA 710
AGCUCUGGGGCUUCAGUCAAUGACUCAGGGUAGCCACCGAACAUGAUGCUCGGGCAGUGGGUGCCACCUGGACUCCACUCUCCCCUCUCUCUGGGAUCAUAGAGUCCAAGGUGUUCUGUGGCCUCUCGGCCAAUCCCAGCAGCUCAGCGUGCAGAAGACCGAGGAGCCAUUGGAAUUCAACACAACACGAAAUAAUCAACAAAUUCGGGGAAUGUUAAUCUGACCAUCACCAGUUACAAAUGAUGUUUCAUGCUACCUUCUAUUCCUGCCUUCAUAAAUCAAGCUCUAAAUCUCCAGGAAAAAAUGUGCUCAGGAUGGCCAGAGAAAUGUCCUUCCAACUGUGCAUGGAAAGCAAGGACAGCAAAGCCUUCCAGACCUGCCUGUGACAUGCACUGCACAUUCUAAAGAUGCCUAUGCAAUGGAAAACACCACUGUCUGCUCCAGCACAGCUGCCAUUCUUCCAUCUUAUCGACCUUAAUGCAACAACUCCUCACAGGCAGAGAUUUUAAAAUGUGUUCUUGGCAGAAGAGAGACUCAAAGAUGGGACAAAUGUGUCAUUUAAAUGCCUGUUAAAAUGGAAACAGACAUAGUAUAGUCAGAGGAUUGUGGCAGCUAAGAACAUAGUCUCUGGAGCAAAUCUGCAUGGGUGGCAAUGCCAAGCACAUGAGGUCCUAGUUGUAUGAACUUAGGAAAAGAAAAAGAGAACAUAUAUCCCCCUACCUUUUGAUUUCCAACAGUCUACUGAGAGGCCAAGAUUAUUUGCAGGGAAAGAAAAGGGGUCAAAAUGUUUUGCCAGUAACUCCCAAAUCAUCUACAGCCAAGGAGAAAAGUGUUUCAAGACAGAGGUGCUCAAUGGUAUCAAAUACUGCCAACAGACCAAGUAAUACAUGCAUUGAAGUGUCUACUGGAUCUAGCUAUAUCACCAGAACAAGGUUAUGGUGGAAAACGCUAGAAAUGAAGAUUUUGUCCCCAGGGAUGGGGGAUACAAGUUACCAAAGUAGUGGCGAGAAAAGGAAUUUUUAAUUUAGGACACUUAGGCCAUACUGAAGCAAGGUGACAAAAUGAAUAGCUACAAUGUCUCGUGAAUCUUGGGUUUCCAUUCACCCUGGUAUUCAAGAGAAAUUCUUGCAUCAUGGAAGUUGCAGUUGGAUAGGACUUUCUCAGCUGAACACUGUCAUCUGCCAGAGCUUCAGGCAAGAACCCAGAACAGAUGAAACCCCAGACAUGACAAAAUAAGCCAAAGAAUACCAGGCCAAGGUGUGAAAGGCCAGAUGAGAACAAGCAGCGUACACGAUUCUGUUGCCAACAGAUCUCCCCUAACAGUGUCGUGCACCAAAUUUCCACAGUGAAUGUCAGGAAAAAAUGGCAAUUGAGGUGGGUGGUCAAAAGAGAAGCACAGUCUAUGAUGAAGUCACCCCAGAGAAGUCCUUUUUCCGUUUUCUCCUGAGAAAUUACCAGAAGAAAUUAAAAUCCUUUUGAGUAUUG